rnacentral:rRNA from 1 species
UACGUAGGGGGCAAGCGUUAUCCGGAUUUACUGGGUGUAAAGGGAGCGUAGACGGCAUAGCAAGUCUGAAGUGAAAGCCCGUGGCUCAACCGCGGAACUGCUUUGGAAACUGUUAAGCUGGAGUACUGGAGAGGCAAGCGGAAUUCCUAGUGUAGCGGUGAAAUGCGUAGAUAUUAGGAGGAACACCAGUGGCGAAGGCGGCUUGCUGGACAGAGACUGACGUUGAGGCUCGAAAGCGUGGGGAGCAAACA